GUUGUCACAAGGUUUCCGUAGGUGAACCUGCGGAGGAUCAUUAUUGAAUUAAACUUGGUUUAGGUUGUUGCUGGCUCCUUGGAGUAUGUGCACACCUAGCGCCAUUUUUACCACCUGUGCACCUUUUUGUAGACCCCCCCGGAUACCUCUCGAGGAAACUCGGUUUUGAGGACUGCUGUGCGAAAAAGCCAGCUUUCCUUGUAUUUCUGGGUCUAUGUUUUUAUUAUACCCCUUAAGAAUGUAACAGAAUGUUGUUUUUACUGGCCUUCUGUGCCUUUAAAUCAAAUCAAAUAACUUUCAGCAACGGAUCUCUUGGUUCUCGCAUCGAUGAAGAACGCAGCGAAAUGCGAUAAGUAAUGUGAAUUGCAGAAUUCAGUGAAUCAUCGAAUCUUUGAACGCACCUGGCGCUCCCUGGUAUUCCGAGGAGCAUGUCUGUUUGAGUGUCAUUAAAAUUAUCAACCUUUCCGGCUUUUGUGAGCUUUUUUGGUCAGGCUUGGAUGGUGGGGGUUUUGCGGGCUUCUCAGAAGUCGGCUCCUCUUAAAUGCAUUAGUGAAACCUUUGUUGAUCAUCUCUUGGUGUGAUAAUUAUCUACGCCAAUUAAGAGUGUGUUAGCCUCAAUUCUGUUGAGAGGUUCUGCUUCUAACUGUCCUCCUAGAGGGACAACUUCUAACCUUUGACCUCAAAUCAGACAAGACUACCCGCUGAG
rnacentral:rRNA from 1 species